CCAUAGCUCAACUGGAUAGAGCAACGCACUUCUAAUGCGUAGGUUACAGGUUCAAGUCCUGUUGGG
rnacentral:tRNA from 1 species